rnacentral:snRNA from 1 species
AUUGCUUCUCAGCCUUUUGGCUAAGAUCAAGAGUAGUAGUAUCUGUUCUUAUCAGCUUAAUAUCUGAUGCAUCCUCUAUCCCAGGACAAUACAUAAAAUGGAUUUUUGGAGCUGGGAGAUGGAACAGGAACUUGCUCCCAUGCACUCUGUGCCUUGACCAGGUAUUCCAGUACCUCUGGGAACUGUGCACUUGCU